AGAGUUUGAUCCUGGCUCAGGAUGAACGCUAGCGGCAGGCCUAAUACAUGCAAGUCAAAGGGGUAGCAAUACCACUGGCGCACGGGUGCGUAACGCGUAUGCAAUCUACCUUGUACUGGGGGAUAACUCGGGGAAACUCGGGCUAAUAUCGCGUAAUAUAGGAAUUGGCAUCAAUUUUUAUUAAAAACUUUGGUGGUACAAGAUGAGCAUGCGUAAGAUUAGCUAGUUGGUGCGGUAACGGCGUACCAAGGCGAUGAUCUUUAGGGGGUCUGAGAGGAUGAUCCCCCACACUGGUACUGAGAUACGGACCAGACUCCUACGGGAGGCAGCAGUAAGGAAUAUUGGUCAAUGGUGGGAACACUGAACCAGCCAUGCCGCGUGCAGGAAGAAGGCGUUAUGCGUUGUAAACUGCUUUUAUUAAGGAAGAAAACCCCUCUGCGGAGGGACUUGACGGUACUUGAUGAAUAAGCACCGGCUAACUACGUGCCAGCCGCCGCGGUAAUUC
rnacentral:rRNA from 1 species